UCUGAAACCUUUCCUCUUUGCUGGUAGAUCUUCUCUUUCUGCCUUGGAAAUUACAGCUGUUCCCUGCUGUCCUUUGCCCUGCCUGAAUUCCCUGCAGCUCCACUGGGAAAACCUGGGAUAACUCAGAGGGAACAGAGGCAUCUCCGAGGGCAUUGCUUGGGAUUGAAUUGCUGUGAGGGGAAUUCCCUUGGCUGUAAGGCUGCUGCUGGAGGAUGUCCCCAGGCUGGAAGGGAAGGGACUGGGGUGCCUGGGACACACCUGGUGGGUGUGUGGGAGCUCCAGGAGGCACCAAGGACAGGAGGGGCUGGUUCCCUCCCUGGGGCUCAGCCUCCUCCCGCCCCGCGUUCCCGGCCAGCUGGGCCACACGGAGGGAGCACCAGGAACAUUCCUGGCAGGGAGCAGGAGUCCCCGAGGGCUCCGUGCAGCUCCGGGCCGAGAAGCAGCCCCGGGCUGUGAGCACUCACCUGCAGGAAACGCCCCUCUGCAGGUGGGACCAGCCUGACACUCUCCAGAACAUUGGCCUUGGACCAAGGGAGCCCUCAGGAGUUGUCUUGCUCUUUUCUCCCUGGAAAGGGACGGGGCAUCAGCACCUUUACAGCCAUCAAGGAAAUGCUGGAAAGAGCAGGGAAUCAGGGUUGUUGGAAGGAUUUUGUGCUGUCACACAACUGUUCACCUGUGUUGUUCCGUGGUCAGGUGCUGGCUAUGGAGCUCUGCCUUAUGGACAUUCCAGGGGCUGGUGUGUAAAGUAGCAUUGGCAUAGGAAUUCCCCUGCUGGCACUUGGCAUUCCCAUCCCAGGCAGGGCAUUGCUGUGACCUAAGAUUGCCUUGGUUGGAGCAGGGUGCUGAAAAUGCCCAAGUUGUGGGUUCAAUCCCCAGCUGAGCUCUUCACAUAAGGGUUCAGCCUGGUACUCCUUGUGUGUGCCUUCCCACUCAGGAUAUCUGAUGACCUGGAAAUAAAGAAUGAGCAGUUUUCA
rnacentral:lncRNA from 1 species